UGCAAGUCGUACGCUUCUUUUUCCACCGGAGCUUGCUCCACCGGAAAAAGAAGAGUGGCGAACGGGUGAGUAACACGUGGGUAACCUGCCCAUCAGAAGGGGAUAACACUUGGAAACAGGUGCUAAUACCGUAUAACAAUCGAAAUCGCAUGAUUUUGAUUUGAAAGGCGCUUUCGGGUGUCGCUGAUGGAUGGACCCGCGGUGCAUUAGCUAGUUGGUGAGGUAACGGCUCACCAAGGCCACGAUGCAUAGCCGACCUGAGAGGGUGAUCGGCCACAUUGGGACUGAGACACGGCCCAAACUCCUACGGGAGGCAGCAGUAGGGAAUCUUCGGCAAUGGACGAAAGUCUGACCGAGCAACGCCGCGUGAGUGAAGAAGGUUUUCGGAUCGUAAAACUCUGUUGUUAGAGAAGAACAAGGAUGAGAGUAACUGUUCAUCCCUUGACGGUAUCUAACCAGAAAGCCACGGCUAACUACGUGC
rnacentral:rRNA from 1 species